AUUGAACGCUGGCGGCAUGCUUUACACAUGCAAGUCGAACGGUAACAGGCCUUCGGGUGCUGACGAGUGGCGAACGGGUGAGUAAUGCAUCGGAACGUACCCAGAGGUGGGGGAUAACGCAGCGAAAGCUGUGCUAAUACCGCAUGUGAUCUGAGGAUGAAAGCGGGGGACCGAGCAGCAAUGUUUGGCCUCGCGCCUUUGGAGCGGCCGAUGUCGGAUUAGCUAGUUGUGGGGUAAAGGCCUACCAAGGCGACGAUCCGUAGCUGGUCUGAGAGGACGACCAGCCACACUGGGACUGAGACACGGCCCAGACUCCUACGGGAGGCAGCAGUGGGGAAUUUUGGACAAUGGGCGCAAGCCUGAUCCAGCAAUGCCGCGUGCGGGAAGAAGGCCUUCGGGUUGUAAACCGCUUUUGGCAGGAACGAAACGGUGUCCGCUAAUACCGGGCGCUAAUGACGGUACCUGCAGAAUAAGCACCGGCUAACUACGUG
rnacentral:rRNA from 1 species